AGCGAACGCUAGCGGCGGGCCUAACACAUGCAAGUCGAGCGGGGAGCAAUCCCAGCGGCGAACGGGUGAGUAACACGUGGGUAAUGUGCCUUCUGGUGGGGAAUAACCUUGGGAAACCAGGGCUAAUACCGCAUAUCGUGCUUCGGCAUGAAAGCCUUCGGGCGCCAGUAGAGCAGCCUGCGUCCCAUUAUUUAGUCCUAGUUGGUAGGGUAAUGGCCUACCAAGGGUACGAUGGGUAGCUGGUCUGAGAGGAUGAUCAGCCACACUGGAACUGAGACACGGUCCAGACUCCUACGGGAGGCAGCAGUGGGGAAUAUUGCGCAAUGGGGGAAACCCUGACGCAGCCACGCCGCGUGAGUGAUGGAGGCCUUCGGUUGUAAAGCGUCUGUCGGGUAGGGACGAAGGGAGCAAUCUCUGACGGUAACCUCGCGAAGAAAGCACCGGCUAACUCUAGUGCCGAGCAGCCGCGGUAAAGUAGUCGUG
rnacentral:rRNA from 1 species